GUCAGAAUCAGUACAUACACGCCUGUAAAUGGCCACAGUUGAAAAUAAAAAUACUUUCGAGUUUAUAGAAAGAGAAGAGCAACUAAAAUUCUUUAAACAUGUUCUUUUUAGCCUCAAUAGUUCAGAUAUGCCAACUCUUGAUCCAUUUCAUUAUUCUGCACCAAUUGAACCUCACCCUAUAUUCCACUUAAUUCAUCCUAUGAUAGAGCCAAAUGCAAUUAUUGAUU
rnacentral:misc_RNA from 1 species